AGUUGCACUGUGCAUAGGACAACAGGGGAGAGAAAGAAACAGCUAUGUUAACUCAAAACAUUCACAACAUGAAGUCGAUGUUUUACCGUAAGAAGAAAAUGUAAGUUUGGGCAUAGAUUAGGUUUAGGAACGAGGGUUAUGGUUGGGGAUAGAUUAGGUUUAGGAACGAGGGUUAUGGUUGGGGAUAGAUUAGGUUUAGGAACGAGGGUUAUGGUUGGGGAUAGAUUAGGUUUAGGAACGAGGGUUAUGGUUGGGGAUAGAUUAGGUUUAGGAACGAGGGUUAUGGUUGGGCAUAGAUUUCAGAUGUUAAAGUAGGGAAAGGCAUGAAAUUUAACAAUGUACAUUUAUUUUUUUUAUUUUCUGCCGGGUCAAAUAUACACUGUCUUCACAAUAAUUCUCUCUCUCUCUCUCUCUCUCUCUCUCUCUCUCUCUCUCUCUCUCUCUCUCUCUCUCUCUCUCUCUCUCUCUCUCUC